GCCCAGAUGGCGGAAUUGGUAGACGCGCCAGACUCAAAAUCUGGUGUCCGCAAGGAUGUGCAGGUUCGAUUCCUGUUCUGGGCA
rnacentral:tRNA from 2 species